GACGAACGCUGGCGGCGUGCUUUACACAUGCAAGUCGAACGGAAAAGCCCUGCUUUUGUGGGGUGCUCGAGUGGCGAACGGGUGAGUAACACGUGAGUAACCUGCCCUUGACUUUGGGAUAACUUCAGGAAACUGGGGCUAAUACCGGAUAGGAGCUCCUGCUGCAUGGUGGGGGUUGGAAAGUUUCGGCGGUUGGGGAUGGACUCGCGGCUUAUCAGCUUGUUGGUGGGGUAGUGGCUUACCAAGGCUUUGACGGGUAGCCGGCCUGAGAGGGUGACCGGCCACAUUGGGACUGAGAUACGGCCCAGACUCCUACGGGAGGCAGCAGUGGGGAAUAUUGCACAAUGGGCGGAAGCCUGAUGCAGCAACGCCGCGUGCGGGAUGACGGCCUUCGGGUUGUAAACCGCUUUCGCCUGUGACGAAGCGUGAGUGACGGUAAUGGGUAAAGAAGCACCGGCUAACUACGUG
rnacentral:rRNA from 1 species